rnacentral:rRNA from 1 species
UUACCGAGUUUACAACUCCCAAACCCCUGUGAACAUACCACUUGUUGCCUCGGCGGAUCAGCCCGCUCCCGGUAAAACGGGACGGCCCGCCAGAGGACCCCUAAACUCUGUUUCUAUAUGUAACUUCUGAGUAAAACCAUAAAUAAAUCAAAACUUUCAACAACGGAUCUCUUGGUUCUGGCAUCGAUGAAGAACGCAGCAAAAUGCGAUAAGUAAUGUGAAUUGCAGAAUUCAGUGAAUCAUCGAAUCUUUGAACGCACAUUGCGCCCGCCAGUAUUCUGGCGGGCAUGCCUGUUCGAGCGUCAUUUCAACCCUCAAGCACAGCUUGGUGUUGGGACUCGCGUUAAUUCGCGUUCCUCAAAUUGAUUGGCGGUCACGUCGAGCUUCCAUAGCGUAGUAGUAAAACCCUCGUUACUGGUAAUCGUCGCGGCCACGCCGUUAAACCCCAACUUCUGAAUGUUGACCUCGGAUCAGGUAGGAAUACCCGCUGAACUUAAGCAUAUC